GAAUGGCGGUGAUCCAGCAUCUGGAAGCAUAGAUAAAAAGCGAAGAAUUUCAGAAGAAAAGUCUGAUAAAGGGAAACCUUGGGAUCUGAAGGAAGUUCUAAAUCCCCAGAAAUUUCUUCUUGAUACAAUGCUAGAAACUGACCAAGCCAGCAAGGUAUCAAAGGUGCUCGACGACGAUGACCUCCUCAGGGAGAUCAUUAUCCGCGUCGGCUUCCCCACCACCCUUGUCCGUGCUGCCCUUGUCUGCAAGCGCUGGUACCAUCAUGCCUCUGAACCCGCCUUCCUCCGCCAUUUUUGCGAGCGCCACCUGUCCUGCCUCCUUGGCUUCUACGUCGAGGAUAGGGAAGAUCAUAAAAUGGCUUCUAUUCGGUUCUUCAGUUUGCUAAAUAAGCCCCGAGAACUUGCUGCCAUCGUCCGCUCUCUGCUGGGCUACAGUUGGGACGCCUACCGCAGCGCGCCGGCCAACUUCCUCUGCUCCCGGAACGGCAGAGUCUUCAUCAGCUUGUACGACCAGGUCAACCGCAGCAAAUUUACAGUUGGGGCGCACAGUCCAUUAUGUCCUGAGAGAGGCCUGACUGUUGUCCCACCAUUCCCACACAUUGAAAUCCAGGAUGGCUAUUCCCGCACGAUGAAUGAUCUCUUCUCCGUAGAUGAAGUCAAUGACUUGUCCUUGUUGCAUGUGUUGGUGGUGUCUAACAUGCAGAGAACAAAAUCUACGGUGCACGUACAUAUGUGGCGACAUGGUGAUGGUGUGUGGCGCACGUAUCUUACCUUGGACACAGACCAGCUCCUUGAUCCACGACGGGAACCAAAAUCUGUGCUCGCCAACAAUAAAAUCUACAUAGCAAGCGCCCAGAGCGACAUUGUUGUCUUUGAUUUGAUUGCCUCGAGCAUCUCUAUGUUUCAGCUCCCACAAGGGGUGGAGUAUGGCGAUACAGAUACCAUGUUGGCACAGGCUCAGGAUGCUUCUGGUGUGUAUCUCAUCCAUGCAAAGAAGCUUCAGCUUCACAUUUGGCUCCACAAGGGGGACAACUGGUUACUGGUGGACACCAUUUGUUUGCGUGAGAUGGUAGCUAAUAUGUGGAUUCCAGGUUACAGGGUUGAAGAUGAUUCCUACGCUCCUCUCCGGAUAAAGCAUGUGGGGGACCAUGCUGAGUUUAUGUUCUUGGAGAUGGGUCGAUGCGCACUUCAAUUAGAUGUCAAGUGCAUGCAGUUGCGUAAAGUGUAUGUCAUGGCAGAAGAAGAAGUGCGUUUGGGUGAUAUCCAUCCUCUUAAGAUGAUUUGGCCGCCCAUAUUCCCUGCGCUCAAGGAUAAUCCUGCAAGCUCCAAAUAAAUUUUCAUGGAGGGGGCAAAGCUCAAGUUAGAAGAGUUGCAGGGGAGCCAGUCAGCACCAUUUGAUAGAUGAAUUGCAAGUGCAAGUGUACGAAGAGGAGAGGAUUGCACAGUAGUCAUGGAAGAACAAGAUUCAACUGGAGGCCAAGCUAGCAUUUAGGGAUGGGAGGAUAGAAGAGCUGGAAGGGAAGGUUGAAGAACAUGAUAAGAAGGAUGUUGCGCAACAAGAGCUCAAAGUCGCGGAGAUAAGAUGAUCAGAUUUUCAGUGGCAUCUGCCUUAACUUGCAUUUAUGUUAAGUUGUGACUAGUAAGGAAUCAACAAGUGAUUAUGUGAAAAGUGAAUGUUGAAUUUUAGAUCAUUGCUUUGCGAAUAACAACUCUGUCCAAACAUGUUUUUUUUUUCAUAUUAAUGA
rnacentral:rRNA from 1 species